UCAAGCAAACCAUCCAACAAAGGCUGAUUUCUGACCAUUCACCUGUGGCUCUAUAUUGUGGUGUUUGGGAACCAGCUAAAUCAUACUUUAAGUUUGAAAAUUGGUGGCUCAAUGUGGAAGGCUUUGAUAAUAGAAUCAGAGAAUGGUGGACAUCUUUUGAAUUUACAGGAAGACCAGAUUACAUUUUUGCUCUAAAAGCUCUCAAGGGCAAGCUAAGCAGAAGUUAUGAAGGUAAUUUGGGAUUGCAAAAAUCAAAAUUGAUGAGUCAACUUGCAAGUUUUGAGGCAACACAACAACUUAGAGCACAGAGGAGGAAUCAAUAAGGAAGGCAGCUAUUCUAAUGGAGAUUGGGGAACAACUCAAGAAUGAAGAAAGUGCAUGGAGACAGAAAUCAAGAGCUCUAUGGCUCAAAAAAGAGGAUAGGAAUACAAACUUUUCCCAUCGCACUGCCAAUGCACACAAGAGAAACAACAACAUUGAUCAACUACUAAUUCGACAUGAAGUAGUCGAGGAUCCAGACAUAAUAGAGAAUGAGAUUAUUGAUUUCCACAAGGGACAUGAAAAGUGGGGACCAACGGUCAAUUUCGAAAAUAGCCCAUGACGAUUCAGACAGAAUAGAGAACGAGAUCAUUGAUUUCUACAAGGGGUUAUACACAAAACCUGAAGAGUGGAGAAAAUAGCCCAAGAAUUUGUGAAUCAGAGCGGGAGUCUUUACAGAGUAACUUUGAGGAACAAGUGUUAGGAUUUAUGCCCGUCACUAGAGGGGGGGUGAAUAGUGCGGCACGAGAAUAUU
rnacentral:lncRNA from 1 species